AGGGUUGUUUCAACGUUAGAGAGAGAGAGAGAGAGAGAGAGGGGUCAGCGGAGGAAGAAGAAGGAGAAGAGAAAAGGGAUUAGGGUUAGCCUUGAAUUGAAGCUUAUUAGGUAAUUUUCAUCUUCUUAGAUACUGAAAUUCAUGUUUUCCAUGCUAGGUCUUCCAUUCUGUAUCUAAUAUGUUCUGAAUUAGAACCAUGGGAGAGGGUUUCUAAGGUUGGAAUUGAGUCUUAUUUCAGAAAAUUCGUGUAUCACAUGGUUAUACUUAACUGUGUUUUGAGAAAGUAGUUAAUCUGUCCUGUUUUUGACAAAUUUUUCCCAUCGAUGUGCUGAUCAUGUUAUUUUUUGAUAAUUUUACUGUAGAUGCCUCUGUGAGUGUAGUUUAUGCUGCAAAAAUUUCAAAAUUUUCUGAAUAGUAUGGAAAAAGAUAAAAAUCAUGAAUCGAACUGGUGUCUAAUUCGCGUCUGGGCAGACAGCCCAGACACGUGUUGGAAAAACGGGCAUAACUUCUUGCUCGGGUAUCGGUUUUACGCACCGUUUCUUGAUUCCGAAACUAGACUCAUAUAUCUUUCUGAAUAUGUAUGGUUUGUGUCGUGGUUCUUUCUAGAUUAUAGCAGUUUUUGAAUUAAAGUUCAGGUUUUGGUACUUCUGAAAUUCUGGACAGCUUUUGGCUUGUGUUCGUCAUGAAAUUUCUCAAGUUUAAGCAUGCUGGGCGGACAUGGGUUCUCAUGAGUCUUAAACAUGGAUCAAUUGGUGAUGUUUUGGUGUUGGAAUUAUUGGAAAAUAUUGAGUAUGUGAUUUUUAAUGAGCUUUCGAUCGCAGACUGUUCUGCUGAAAACUGUGAAUUCUGCUUUAGAUGUGUAACUUCAUUUGAGCGUAUCUUGGUCAUUCAGACUCCGUUUAGGACAAAUUUUAUAUCAAAAUUCAUGUACCGGAGGUGUACUUUCUAAUGAUGGUGGUUUCAUAAUCUGGUUUUAACCCUAUAAGAAGUUAUAGGCAGAAUACGACAGGCUGGUCAUAGAUUUCAAACCAAAUGUAGGGGUUAUGUGGUGUUUGAGUGUUACGCUUGUUUAGGGACACUUCUAAACCUUUGAGAUAGACAUGUUAGUAUGCGUUAAGUAUUGUUAAUCUAUUGUUGGUGUUAUAGAGUAUUGUUAGGAGGUAGUUUUGACGUUUAAGCGUUCAAUAAACUGAUAUGGUUAGCUUGUGGUUAGGUAACAAGCCGAUCAAUUGGAGAGGUUCCGAAACUGUAAGUUUGGCAUACCUCGGUCGAUACAAGGUAGCAGGUUGCGUAGAGUGGGUCCACUACCGGUCAUCGUGUUGAGAAGUGUUUGGGCUAGCAUUAGAUGAUGUGGAUGAACGAGUUGGUUGUAGGUAGUAAACUAAAAAGUUGAUUUAUGUUAGUUAUAAAUAAGUCGUUGGUGGAUGUAUUGAAGUGUAGAAUUUUUAAAGUAUUGUAAAACUAUAUUGUUGUUUAGUUGUGUGAGGUCGUGGUUGGUUGGUCGAUACGUCGACUCAUUUUUAUGUUAA